rnacentral:tRNA from 1 species
GCCUUCGUGGUGUAGUGGUCAGCACAAUCGACUCUUAACAGAGAUGUCCGUGGUUCGAUUCCCGGCGAAGGCG